GGGCUCGUAGCGCAGUGGCUGUCGCGCCUUCACGGCAUGUAGGAGGACGCCGGUUCGAAUCCGGCCGGCCCCG
rnacentral:tRNA from 1 species